GGGUUAGUUACCACCCUAUAAAUACAAGAGGAGGCCGCAUUUGCACCGUGGAAGCGGCGGAAGACGAGAUAAAGAGAGAGCCGACGGUGAUUUUUGAGCAAGCAUGAGGGCCAAGUGGAAGAAGAAGCGUAUGAGGAGACUGAAGAGGAAGCGCAGAAAGAUGAGACAGAGAUCUAAGUAGAGCAGCAGGGGUCCGGAUGCCUAGGGUGGUUUCUUGGUUGAAACUGCAGCCUUUUACUAUCGCUGUCCAUCUCUGUGGCAGCUCCGAAGAAUGGAGGUUGUCCGUUGUUUGAAGCUGUUCAUUAGUUAUUCUACUAUGUUCUAUGAAGGAGCUUAGUUUUAGUUUUAAGUAUUGCUAGUAAGGAUGUUGUGUUUUUAUGGUAACAUGCUAGUUUUGUCAACCAAAGAUAUAUGUGAGAUUAUCUUGAACCUUUUCUCUUUUAAGCUGACAAUAUUAAGAGGAUUUCUGUUUAUCUGGGCUACAUUUCAUUUGAAUAAAUUUUGGCUUUGAACGUUAAUACUUCAUGUGACGUUCUGAUGAUGAACAAGUGUGAAGUGAAACACAUGAUUGGUUU